rnacentral:rRNA from 1 species
UACGGGGGGGGCAAGCGUUGUUCGGAAUUACUGGGCGUAAAGGGCUCGUAGGCGGCCAACUAAGUCAGACGUGAAAUCCCUCGGCUUAACCGGGGAACUGCGUCUGAUACUGGAUGGCUUGAAUCCGGGAGAGGGAUGCGGAAUUCCAGGUGUAGCGGUGAAAUGCGUAGAUAUCUGGAGGAACACCGGUGGCGAAGGCGACAUCCUGGCCUGUUCUUGACGCUGAGGCGCGAAAGCUAGGGUAGCAAACGGG